rnacentral:rRNA from 1 species
CGGAUCCUACGGGGCGCAGCAGUGGGGAAUAUUGCACAAUGGGGGAAACCCUGAUGCAGCAACGCCGCGUGAGUGAGGAAGUAUUUCGGUAUAUAAAGCUCUAUCAGCAGGGAAUAGAAAAGAAGGUACCUGAAAAAGAAGCCCCGGCUAACUCCGUGCCAGCAGCCGCGGUAAUACGGAGGAUGCGAGCGUUAUCCGGAUUUAUUGGGUUUAAAGGGUGCGUAGGCGGAAUGCCAAGUCAGCGGUAAAAUCGCGGGGCUCAACCUCGCUCCGCCGUUGAAACUGGCGUUCUUGAGUGGGCGAGA